rnacentral:rRNA from 1 species
UGGGAAUUUUGGACAAUGGGCGAAAGCCUGAUCCAGCAAUGCCGCGUGUGUGAAGAAGGCCUUCGGGUUGUAAAGCACUUUUGUCCGGAAAGAAAUCCUUGGCUCUAAUACAGUCGGGGGAUGACGGUACCGGAAGAAUAAGCACCGGCUAACUACGUGCCAGCAGCCGCGGUAAUACGUAGGGUGCAAGCGUUAAUCGGAAUUACUGGGCGUAAAGCGUGCGCAGGCGGUUUGCUAAGACCGAUGUGAAAUCCCCGGGCUCAACCUGGGAACUGCAUUGGUGACUGGCAGGCUAGAGUAUGGCAGAGGGGGGUAGAAUUCCACGUGUAGCAGUGAAAUGCGUAGAGAUGUGGAGGAAUACCGAUGGCGAAGGCAGCCCCCUGGGCCAAUACUGACGCUCAUGCACGAAAGCGUGGGGAGCAAAACAGGAUUAGAUACCCUGGUAGUCCACGCCCUAAACGAUGUCAACUAGUUGUUGGGGAUUCAUUUCCUUAGUAACGUAGCUAACGCGUGAAGUUGACCGCCUGGGGAGUACGGUCGCAAGAUUAAAACUCAAAUGAAUUGACGGGGUCAUAGCUGUUUCCU